rnacentral:rRNA from 1 species
CACCGCGGUUAUACGAGUAACCCAUAUUAAUACUUCCCGGCGUAAAGAGUGGUUUAAGGACGGCCUAUUAUAACUAAAGUUAAGACCCCAUCAUGCUGUUAUACGCACUUAUGGGUGGAAUAAACAACAACGAAAGUGACUUUAUAAAAAAAGGGGCCUUGAUGCCACGAUAUUUGAACCC